rnacentral:lncRNA from 1 species
CUCUCAGUCCUCAUUUGUGGCAUCAUCUGCUGCCUCGGGCUGCAUUACAUCAUCCGUUGUGGAUCCAGACGUUCUGCACGUUUCAUGAUCUCUGAGCCUAUAUCCAGUCUUCCAACAACACGGGGUUCAUCAAACAAAGGAAUCAAGAAGAAAGCUCUUAGAAUGUUCCCAGUUGUGAGCUACUCACCUGAGAUGAACCUGCCGGGAAUUGACGAAGAGUGUGUCAUAUGUUUGUCGGAUUUUGUUUCCGGUGAACAGCUCAGGCUACUCCCCAAGUGCAACCACGGGUUC